GUGGCGGAAUCGGCUUACGCGAUGGACUUAAAAUCCCCCGCCCCUCAAGGGUGUGUGGGUUCAAAUCCCACCCUCGGCACCA
rnacentral:tRNA from 1 species